CAGCACUCCGCGUAGGAGUAUACUGGACUACACGCUCUGGUGCCAAGACGUAUGGUGACAUCGUUAUAAAAUCUUUUGCCUAGACUCGUUCUAGAGCAGAUAAGACAACCUCAACAGAAAUGAAGAGGUGGUG
rnacentral:ncRNA from 1 species